rnacentral:lncRNA from 1 species
UGAACUUACUGUUUAGUUUGUCCAGGAGAGGCUCAUAUUCUGAGAUUUUAAGCUUUCGGCUCAUGAGAGGAAGACCAAGAUAACGGAUUGGCAGUGAACCAGCGGUGAAUCCAUAGCUGUCCAUAGAGUUUGAUUCAAUCUGGUUCACUCCCGCCUUGAACAGCUGAGUCUUUGCCGCAUUUAUUCUCAGAUCAGACCAGGAGGCAAAAUCAUCUAAGGCCUCGUUAACUCCGUGAAGUGAAGAACUUUCACCAUCAAAAAAUAUCAUGAC